rnacentral:misc_RNA from 1 species
GAAAUGCGAUAAGUAAUGUGAAUUGCAGAAUUCCGUGAAUCAUCGAAUCUUUGAACGCACAUUGCGCCCUCUGGUAUUCCGGGGGGCAUGCCUGUCCGAGCGUCAUUGUGAACCCCUCAAGCACGGCUUGUGUGAUGGGCCCUCCCGCGUCUUGGUCGUCAAGACGGGCCCGAAAUGCAGUGGCGGCUUCGCGGUUAUCCGAUCAGCCAGAGCGUAUGGGGACUUUCUCUCUGUCACACGCCCGCGGCGCGGACCGACGCCUGUCGACCUUCAUUCAUCGUUUUCUCGGUUGACCUCGGAUCAGGUAGGGAUACCCGCUGAACUUAAGC